rnacentral:rRNA from 1 species
GACGAACGCUGGCGGCGUGCCUAAUACAUGCAAGUUGAGCGCUGAAGGUUGGUCCUUGUACCAACUGGAUGAGCAGCGAACGGGUGAGUAACGCGUGGGGAAUCUGCCUUUGAGCGGGGGACAACAUUUGGAAACGAAUGCUAAUACCGCAUAAAAACUUUAAACACAAGUUUUAAGUUUGAAAGAUGCAAUUGCAUCACUCAAAGAUGAUCCCGCGUUGUAUUAGCUAGUUGGUGAGGUAAAGGCUCACCAAGGCGAUGAUACAUAGCCGACCUGAGAGGGUGAUAGGCCACAUUGGGACUGAGACACGGCCCAAACUCCUACGGGAGGCAGCAGUAGGGAAUCUUCGGCAAUGGACGAAAGUCUGACCGAGCAACGCCGCGUGAGUGAAGAAGGUUUUCGGAUCGUAAAACUCUGUUGGUAGAGAAGAACGUUGGUGAGAGUGGAAAGCUCAUCAAGUGACGGUAACUACCCAGAAAGGGACGGCUAACUACGUG